rnacentral:tRNA from 2 species
AGGAGUGUAGCUCAGCUGGUAGAGCAUCGGUCUCCAAAACCGAGGGUCGUGGGUUCGAGUCCCCCCACUCCUGCCA